GCUCCCUUGUUGGGAGAGAGUGUGUCAGCUCGGCAGCUUCACCAUAGUGAGUGAGGGAUUCCUCUCCACAGACAGGAGGAGUGGUGGGCCAAGAUGAUCCUGUGCUGCUCACUAACCAGCAGUCAGACCUAAAAAUAAUUAAAUGCAAAAGACUUGGACAUAUUUCUAAAUUCCAAGAAGAUUGUUAUAGUAGCUACUGCCAACAACAGGACAGUGAUGAGUCCCCUCAUCAACAAACUGAAAUCUGGACUUCAAAACUAACAGAUGUCCUCAGCCUGAAGCUUGACAGCUGUGUUAAAAGUACACAUUAUGAGGAGUUCUGGCAGAAGCUGGUCAUAAUCGGUUUUUAGCCAUAAAUAAAGAACAUCGAGCCUAUAAUUCGU